rnacentral:rRNA from 1 species
GACGAACGCUGGCGGCGUGCUUAACACAUGCAAGUCGAACGGAAAGGCCCUGCUUUUGUGGGGUGCUCGAGUGGCGAACGGGUGAGUAACACGUGAGUAACCUGCCCUUGACUUUGGGAUAACUUCAGGAAACUGGGGCUAAUACCGGAUAGGAGCUCCUGCUGCAUGGUGGGGGUUGGAAAGUUUCGGCGGUUGGGGAUGGACUCGCGGCUUAUCAGCUUGUUGGUGGGGUAGUGGCUUACCAAGGCUUUGACGGGUAGCCGGCCUGAGAGGGUGACCGGCCACAUUGGGACUGAGAGACGGCGCAGACUCCUACGGGAGGCAGCAGUGGGGAAUAUUGCACAAUGGGCGGAAGCCUGAUGCAGCGACGCCGCGUGCGGGAUGACGGCCUUCGGGUUGUAAACCGCUUUCGCCUGUGACGAAGAGUGAGUGACGGUAAUGGGUAAAGAAGCACCGGCUAACUACGUG